rnacentral:tRNA from 1 species
GAUUUAAUAGUUUAAUUGGUAAAACUUAAGAAUUUUAAUCUUACAUAGCGGUUCGAAUCCGUGCAAAUCA